rnacentral:tRNA from 2 species
GCCGGGAUGGCACAGUCAGGUUCACUGCGGUUGCCUGAGGAGCAACUCGGAGACUUCGCACUCCUCAUGGGUUCAAAUCCCAUUCCCGGCG